CAGCACUUUCAUGUCCUCUCUCCUCGUAGGAACGUGGCAUUGACUGAAGACAGCAUUGUCCCAUCUGGCACACGCAGCCGUGCUUUCUGUCUUACCUCCAGUUUUCCGCGCUCCUAAUCUCCUAAUAGAACUUCUGGAUUAUAAAGGAAGAGCGCAUAUUAAGCAGAUCGUUCGUCUUUUACCCCCCGCUCUGCAACAAGCAACGUCUUUUGGGGAAUGGACUGGCGGGGCCUGUCAUUGGAAUAAAAUAUGGAGAUAUGAUGUACAUGAGAAAGGAAUCUCAGGGAACGAUCAUCAUAUUCUCUGAAUGCAGCGUGUCCUUCAGUUGUCUUGGUGAUACACAGUUUACUCCAACUGCACAAGCACGCCAGCAUCUAAACAGAAUGAGCCAUGAUUGAUGGGACAAGAAGCUGAGAUAACUGUUUAUCAGUCCUAAACUAUGGGAAAACUGUUUCAACCAGGCCAAAACAUCUCCAAACACUCAUCUAUUUUUUUUUAGAUUCCUUCUCUUGGAGUUUCCAUGGAGAGUAAAGCACCAUAACCACAAUCUUCCCACGUUUGUCAGAAUGAACCUCCACAGACUGCAUUCUUAUGCAGCACUGAUUGGGAACCACCAGCCACGCCUCCCCUCUGCAUUCAGCACACUCGCAGCUCCUCGCCUUCAUACUAAUCACCAAGGCAUCAAAACUAUGAAUUAACACAUGUGGAAUUAUAUAUGGAAUUAUAUACAUAACAAAAAAUUGUGAAACAACUGAAAAAUGUCAUAUUCUAGGUUCUUCAAAGUAGCCACCUUUUGCU